UACGGGGGGGGCAAGCGUUGUUCGGAAUUACUGGGCGUAAAGGGCUCGUAGGCGGCCAACUAAGUCAGACGUGAAAUCCCUCGGCUUAACCGGGGAACUGCGUCUGAUACUGGAUGGCUUGAGUUUGGGAGAAGGAUGCGGAAUUCCAGGUGUAGCGGUGAAAUGCGUAGAUAUCUGGAGGAACACCGGUGGCGAAGGCGGCAUCCUGGACCAACACUGACACUGAGGCACGAAAGCGUGGGGAGCAAACAGG
rnacentral:rRNA from 1 species